AGCAGCCAACUUGGGCAGCUCUUCAUGCAGGCAGCACCCCAUCCCACCUUCCCCCCAGCAGGCUGCACAGCUAGGCCUCAGCACCAUGAAGACUGCUGGCUCCCUCUGGGGAGCCGGAAUUUUAUUUUUAAUUUUUAUCCACCCUGUUCUUAUGUGACAGUGCCUUGUAAGCUGUGAGUUGGUAUACCAUCUUUAAGAGAAAUGGUGCAUCGGAUUCCCUUCAACCCAUUUUCCACGAGCAGCCAAGUCUGGCAUUGCAACUCACCACUACAAAAAUCCUUCAGAUCCAGGGUACAGAAGCAAACCACUGCUCCUAAGUGAAAUUUUGCAGUUUGAAGCUGGACAUAUGCCCCAAAACCUGUUUAGAAGACAAUGGAGUGAUUUCCACUAACAUUCAGUUUGUUUCUGUAUUUCUGUGCUUCUUUCCUGUGUUUAUAUUUUCCGUUAUCAGUUUAAGAUGUGAGACCUGAAGAAAGGUCCUUUGUGCCUGAAGCGUUGCCAAACAUCUCUCCCAACUAUACAAUAAAAGA